AUGUAUUCCCAUAAUACUGCAGUUUUUUAUAAUACUGUAGUUUUUAUUACAAAGGGUUGUUUGGCUGUCUCUAAAAAUUGUAAUCUUAAUACUGCAGUUUUUGGCAAACCACAAUAUUUUCUCUGCAUCAAAAAAAAGAACCACAUACCUCUUUUUUUUAAACUAAGCUCGCUGAGAAAAGAGAGUCCCUCGCUCAUACCUUCUUCUCAACACGCCUCAUGUCCACGACCGUUUUAUCAGGAUCUUCUGCUUAGUGAUUUAGUUAGCUCGCUUCCAUUUGUUGCUCCAAAUUACAGCCAACCACAAAAUCGUUUUGAAGACGUUGUUGCCGUCCGGAUAGCCAGUUAG
rnacentral:rRNA from 1 species